rnacentral:rRNA from 1 species
UAAUACGUAGGGAGCAAGCGUUGUCCGGAUUCACUGGGUGUAAAGGGUGCGCAGGCGGAUUUGUAAGUCAGAGGUGAAAUCUCACGGCUUAACCGUGAAACUGCCUUUGAUACUGCAGAUCUUGAGUUUGGGAGAGGUUGAUGGAAUUCCAGGUGUAGCGGUGAAAUGCGUAGAUAUCUGGAAGAACACCAGUGGCGAAGGCGGUCAACUGGCCCAUAACUGACGCUCAUGCACGAAAGCGUGGGUAGCGAACAGGAUUAGAUACCCUGGUAGUCCACGCCCUAAACGAUGAAUACUUGGUGUUGGUUCUUUUGAAUCAGUGCCGAAGGUAACCUGUUAAGUAUUCCACCUGGGGAGUACGCUCGCAAGGGUG